rnacentral:rRNA from 1 species
UGGGGAAUUUUGGACAAUGGGCGCAAGCCUGAUCCAGCCAUGCCGCGUGCGGGAAGAAGGCCUUCGGGUUGUAAACCGCUUUUGUCAGGGAAGAAAAGGUUCUGGCUAAUACCUGGGACUCAUGACGGUACCUGAAGAAUAAGCACCGGCUAACUACGUGCCAGCAGCCGCGGUAAUACGUAGGGUGCAAGCGUUAAUCGGAAUUACUGGGCGUAAAGCGUGCGCAGGCGGUUAUGCAAGACAGAGGUGAAAUCCCCGGGCUCAACCUGGGAACUGCCUUUGUGACUGCAUGGCUAGAGUACGGUAGAGGGGGAUGGAAUUCCGCGUGUAGCAGUGAAAUGCGUAGAUAUGCGGAGGAACACCGAUGGCGAAGGCAAUCCCCUGGACCUGUACUGACGCUCAUGCACGAAAGCGUGGGGAGCAAACAGGAUUAGAUACCCUGGUAGUCCACGCCCUAAACGAUGUCAACUGGUUGUUGGGAGGGUUUCUUCUCAGCAACGUAGCUAACGCGUGAAGUUGACCGCCUGGGGAGUACGGCCGCAAGGUUG